CCUACGGGUGGCAGCAGUGGGGAAUAUUGGGCAAUGGGCGCAAGCCUGACCCAGCAAAGUAGCGUGAAGGAAGACGGCUUUACGGUUGUAAAAUUUUUUUUUUAAGGACGUAGCAUGUGACGGUACUUGAUGAAUAAGUCUCGGCUAACUACGUGCCAGCAGUAGCGGUAAUACGUCGGUGGCAAGCGUUAUCCGGAUUUAAUGGGUGUAAGGGGUGAGUAGGCGGGAGGGUAAGUCAGAUGUGAAAUUUAGCGGCUCAACCGAAAUUCUGCAUUUGACACUGGACGCCUUGAGUGCUGGAGAGGCAAGCGGAAUUCCGGGUGUAGCGGUGAAAUGCGUAGAUAUACGGAAGAACACCAGUUGCGAAGGCAGAUUGCUAAACUGUAACUGACACUGAGGCGCGAAAGUGUGGGGAGCAAACAGGAUUAGAUACCCGAGUAGUC
rnacentral:rRNA from 1 species